rnacentral:rRNA from 1 species
ACAUGCAGUCGAGCGGACAGAUGGGAGCUUGCUCCCUGAUGUUAGCGGCGGACGGGUGAGUAACACGUGGGUAACCUGCCUGUAAGACUGGGAUAACUCCGGGAAACCGGGGCUAAUACCGGAUGGUUGUUUGAACCGCAUGGUUCAAACAUAAAAGGUGGCUUCGGCUACCACUUACAGAUGGACCCGCGGCGCAUUAGCUAGUUGGUGAGGUAACGGCUCACCAAGGCAACGAUGCGUAGCCGACCUGAGAGGGUGAUCGGCCACACUGGGACUGAGACACGGCCCAGACUCCUACGGGAGGCAGCAGUAGGGAAUCUUCCGCAAUGGACGAAAGUCUGACGGAGCAACGCCGCGUGAGUGAUGAAGGUUUUCGGAUCGUAAAGCUCUGUUGUUAGGGAAGAACAAGUACCGUUCGAAUAGGGCGGUACCUUGACGGUACCUAACCAGAAAGCCACGGCUAACUACGUGCCAGCAGCCGCGGUAAUACGUAGGUGGCAAGCGUUGUCCGGAAUUAUUGGGCGUAAAGGGCUCGCAGGCGGUUUCUUAAGUCUGAUGUGAAAGCCCCCGGCUCAACCGGGGAGGGUCAUUGGAAACUGGGGAACUUGAGUGCAGAAGAGGAGAGUGGAAUUCCACGUGUAGCGGUGAAAUGCGUAGAGAUGUGGAGGAACACCAGUGGCGAAGGCGACUCUCUGGUCUGUAACUGACGCUGAGGAGCGAAAGCGUGGGGAGCGAACAGGAUUAGAUACCCUGGUAGUCCACGCCGUAAACGAUGAGUGCUAAGUGUUAGGGGUUUCCGCCCCUUAGUGCUGCAGCUAACGCAUUAAGCACUCCGCCUGGGGAGUACGGUCGCAAGACUGAAACUCAAAGGAAUUGACGGGGCCCGCACAAGCGGUGGAGCAUGGUGGUUU